UACGGGGGGGGCAAGCGUUGUUCGGAAUUACUGGGCGUAAAGGGCUCGUAGGCGGCCAACUAAGUCGGACGUGAAAGCCCUCGGCUUAACCGAGGAACUGCGUCCGAUACUGGAUGGCUUGAGGUUGGGAGAGGGAUGCGGAAUUCCAGGUGUAGCGGUGAAAUGCGUAGAUAUCUGGAGGAACACCGGUGGCGAAGGCGGCAUCCUGGACCAAUUCUGACGCUGAGACACGAAAGCGUGGGUAGCAAACAGG
rnacentral:rRNA from 1 species